GACGAACGCUGGCGGCGUGCUUAACACAUGCAAGUCGAGUGCGUAGCCCUUUGUAGCAAUACAGAGGGUGGGCGCACGGCGCACGGGUGAGUAACACGUGGGUAACCUGCCCUUCGGUGGGAAUAACCCGCGAAAGCGGGGCUAAUUCCGCAUAACAUUCCGGGGACACAUGUUCUCGGACUCAAAGGAGUGAUUCGCCGGAGGAGGGGCCCGCGCCCGAUUAGCUUGUUGGUAGGGGUAACGGCCGUACCAAGGCUUUGAUCGGUAGCCGGUCUGAGAGGAUGGCCGGCC
rnacentral:rRNA from 1 species